rnacentral:rRNA from 1 species
CCCUGCCCUUUGUACACACCGCCCGUCGCUACUACCGAUUGAAUGGCUUAGUGAGGUCUCCGGAUGGCCUUUGGAGAGCCGGAAACGGCACUCUAUUGGCGAGAAGCUGAUCAAACUUGGUCAUUUAGAGG